ACGACGGUGGCUAAUGGUUAGAGCGUCUUCCUCGGAUGCAGAAGGUCGCAGGUUCAAACCCCGGCCGAUUCAUA